UGUGUAUAUAAAAUUUUUUUUUUCCUCUUCUGUUUUCUUUUCAUUUUCAAUUUUUGCAUUUCUUAUUGUUAUUAUUAUUAUUAUGUUAUCUCUGUGAGAGAGAGGGUAAAAUAUAUACAACAAAAGAAAAAAAAAAAGAAAAAAUUUUUUUUCACAUUUUUUUUCCUGAAAUUUUUAACAAUUUCAUCAUUCGAGCAAGUGUCGAGGUAGUUUCGACUACUCUUUUUUAAAUUCAAAAUAAAAAUUUGUAAAAAAAAUCAGAAAAAAUCAAAUCCAAUAUAAAUUUUUAUUAUAAAAUAUGUAUAUAUAAAAAAUACAUAAAUAUAAUGUGAUAUAAAUAAAAUUUAAGUAAAGAAAAAGAAAAAUAAAAUAAGAAUUCAAAUAAAAAUUCAAAUUCGGAAUUUCAGAAGAAAAGAAAAAAAAAAUAAAUUCUUAAAUACAUAAAAAUAGUAUAUAAAAUUAAAGAAAAUUAUACAUAAUAUAAAAUAUAUAAAAUAGUAUAAAAUCAUUUACUUAUAUGUAUAUAUAUAUAAAAAUAAAAUGAAAAAAGUUUUCAAAUACAAAGAAAAAAGCAAAGUUUUUACAAUAAGUUUUCAAAUUUCUUAAAAAGAAGCAUACGUUUAUGUGUUUAUAUAAUAAUAAAAUAUAUAAUAUCUGUAUAUAUAUAUAUACAUAUAUAUAUCCAAAUGAGAGAGUAUAUUAUAUAUAAAAAAAAAAUAAUUUCGCUUUUAUAUAAAUAGUAUAUUAUAUAGAACGAAAAUAAAGAAAGAGAACGGGAGUAAAAGAAAAGAAAAAGUGAAAAAAAAAAGCUUUUUAAAUAAUUUUGAUGAGUAAAUAGAAAAGAGCGAGUAUAAGAGCGAGAAAAAAAGAAGAAAUUAAACAACAACACAAAAAUAAUAAUAAUAAUUACAAUAAAAUGUUAUAGUAGUUGUUGCUACGGGUA